rnacentral:tRNA from 1 species
GGCCCUGUGACUCAAAGGAGUAGGGCACCGGCCUCAUAGGCUGGAGGUGGUGGGUUCAAACCCAGCCCUGGCCA